AGGUAAUACUCCAUGGGAGCCCUCACAGUCCGUGUGGCUUCACACAGCAGUGUGGAGCCUCCAAAGAGUGGCCCUUGGCCUUUUGAGGAGUGUUUGGCCUUAAACGUGGAGUUUUAAACUAAGGCACACCACACAUGGACCCCUCAGGCUCAAUAGAUAAUUUGAUAAGCCAAUGACGUUUUUUCAUAUUUCAGAAUACAGUUAACCAACAUGUUAACUGAUCGAUUAUGAUAAAUUAGAUCAAAUUUUGCUGGUUUUUUCUGCAGUACUUCGACGUGACAUGAGUGUGAAAGGGGUUCAAGAAGCCAUUUUCUUUUUAUAAGGUCUAAAAUCACUUAUUUUGGUUAUUUUAACCCAUAUUGUAAGGUGGAUCUCAAAAGAUAUGAAUGAUCUCCCUUUAAACCAUACAAACGAUUAGCAUCGACUAACUCUAUGCUAGCAGCCGCAGUAAUAUAGAGGAUGCAAGUGUUAUCCAGAAUGAUUGGGCAUAAAAGCAUCUGUAGGUGGCUUUUUAAGUCAACCUUCAAAUCCCCGGGCUCAACCCUGGAAAGGGGGUGGAAACUACCAAGAUGGAGUAUGGUGAGGGCAGAGGGAAUUUUCAGUGGAGUGGUGAAAUGCAUAAAGAUCGGAAAGAACACCAACGGCGAAAGCACUCUGCUGGGCCGACACUGACAAUGAGAGAUGAAAGCUAGGGGAGUGAAUAGGAUUAGAGACCCCAAUAGUCCUAGCCAUAAAUGAUAGGUGCUAUGCAUAUCGACCUAUGCAGUGAUGUAACUAACGCGUUAAGUAUCCCACAUGGGGAGUACGUUCGCAAGAAUGAAACUCAAAGGAAUUGACGGGGCCCCGCACAAGCGAUGGAGCAUGUGGUUUAAUUCGAUACAAAGUGAAGAACCUUACCAGGGCUUGACAUGCCGCGAUUCCUCUUGAAAGAGAGGGGUGCCUUCGGGAAUGCAGACACAAGUGAUGCAUGGUUGUAGUCUGGUCAUGCCGUAAGGUGUUGGGUAAAGUCUCGUAAUGAGCACAACUCUCGUGUUUAGUUGUCAUCGUCGAGUUUGGAACCCUGAACAGACUGCCAGUGAUAAGCCGGAGGAAGGUGAGGAUGACGUCAAGUCAUCAUACCCCUUAUGCCCUGGGCGAUACACGUGUUACAAUGGUCGGGACAAAGUAUCGCAAUCCCGCAAGGGUGAGCUAACACCAAAAACCCAUCCUCAGUUCAGAUUGCAGGCUGCAACUUGCCUGUAUGAAGGCAGAAUCGCUAGUAAUCGUCGGUCAGCCAUACGGUGGUGAAUUCAUUCCCGGGCCUUGUACACACCACCCGUCACACUAUGGGAGCUGGCCAUGCCCGAAGUCGAUACCUUAACCGCAAGGAGGGGGAUGCCGAAGGCAGGGCUAGUGACUGGAGUGAAGUCGUAACAAGGUAGCAAAGUCAUUAUCUUAACCGC
rnacentral:rRNA from 1 species